CGGCUGUGCUUUUAAAAAUCAUCUUAUUAAAAUCUAAUAUAAAAAUAGUUGUUUUAAAGGUUUCGUAUUUAAUUUUCUUUUGAUUACAGUUUUUUAAAUGUAAAAGUAUUUGUCACAACCAUUUCGCAUUUAAUUUUACUGUUUCUCCAUACGAUGACAGGGACGCUUAUAUUUUUCCAUCGAUCAUUCUAACAGAAACACGUGUUGCGUGCGCAAAUACUUUAAUUUGGGUUUUAUAGUGAAGCUGCGCAAAAGGAGCUUAUAUAGUUUGCAUUUGCAUUAGUGUGCCUGCCGCAUCGCCCGCUACUUACGGAGGCUGUUUAAAAGGGACUUCCACAGUGAUUUUUUAUAUAAAAGACGACAUUUGCGAAAAGUCUACUCUGCAGUUUACACUAUGAGUGAGGAGUUGAUACCAUCAACUGAGCUGUCGUUAUUUGCCGAGCAAUGUCCAUUGGGAGAUGAGUCCCCUACAACGAAAAAUGUCGACAAUGAGUCCGUAGUAAUUUUGGAUAGUGAUGAACAGUUAAUUAAUUUAUUGUGUUCGUGGGAUUUGUCGUCAAAUGCAUUGAUACAGUUCAAUAGAUGUGGUUUAAAGAGUGUAGCAAUUUUGUAGAUGAUCCAUUCCCACGACAUUGACGAAAUUUUUAAUGCCAGAGAACUAAUUGCGGACAAAAUUAAGUUCCGGUACAACUUGCAAAAAUGGCGUUUAGAAAAUAAUUUCGAUAUGCUCACGUGCUGCAGUGGUGAUAGAACUAUAACAAACCUUUCAUCCAUUCGAAGCUGAGCUCUGCAAGCACACCUUCAACAUCCCCAAACAACGAACCCAACGUCGAAGAGGUUUUAAAAGAAACAGUAGCAGGUAACGACAUAAUAAAGAAGUACGAAAACUGUGGUUGCCUCCAAGAAAGUGACCAAUCUGCAAUAGUUCGCAUUAUUGUGGAUAAUUACUUAAUACGUGAUAUUAAAAUGACCCCGUUCACCAUGAAAACUGUUGCCGAACAGAUUGUCAAACUGUUUUCUAAAGAACAAGAAUCGGUGUAUUACGUACCCAGGACAAACAAAUUACUCGAAGAUUCGCAAAGUGUACGUAAUAAAGAUAGUUAUUCAAAGGAAUUGAAAUGUUGUAGCAAAGAACUAAAUUCGGUCAAAGAAAAUUCUAUUUGGAACAGCCUAUCUUAUUUUCAUGUCACAGACAAUAGGGCUUGUGAUUUAAUGCACGACAUAUUUUUAGGAGUCGCUCGAUAUAAUUAAUAUUCCAAAAGUUCUAGAUUAUUUCAUAUAUCAGAAGAAAUAUUUUUCUUUGGAAGCGUUUAACUAUAGAAACCAAUUAUUUGCUUAUGAUCCAUCUCACGUCAAAAGUUUAAGUAAUCCUUUAACGAAGGCUCAAAUUAAGACUAAUAAUAUUAAAAUGAACGCUUCUGAAAUGAAACUUUUUUUGAAUACUAUUUUGUUAAUGAUUGGGGACUUAAUAGAUGAAUUUGAUUCAGUAUAUAAAUUUUUAAUAACGUUUAUUAAAAUUGUUGAUAUUGUUAUGUAUGAGGAGUUCAGUGACGAUAUUUUGAAUGAGCUACGUGCUUUAAUUGUCGAUCACCAUACAUACGUACGAUUUUUUUGACAAAUAUACACAUUACCUUGUGAUCAAAACCAAGUGGAUGGUAAUAUUUUAUAUAUUUAAAAUAUAUUUUAUACCAAUUUACAUUAAAGCUUGAAACUUUGUGUAAUAUUUAUUAAAAUAAAAAUAUAUGUAUGUAUGUCACUUUUGUAAACUUUA